rnacentral:rRNA from 1 species
GACGAACGCUGGCGGCGUGCUUAACACAUGCAAGUCGAACGGAAAGGCCCUGCUUUUGUGGGGUGCUCGAGUGGCGAACGGGUGAGUAACACGUGAGUAACCUGCCCUUGACUUUGGGAUAACUUCAGGAAACUGGGGCUAAUACCGGAUAGGAGCUCCUGCUGCAUGGUGGGGGUUGGAAAGUUUCGGCGGUUGGGGAUGGACUCGCGGCUUAUCAGCUUGUUGGUGGGGUAGUGGCUUACCAAGGCUUUGACGGGUAGCCGGCCUGAGAGGGUGACCGGCCACAUUGGGACUGAGAUACGGCCCAGACUCCUACGGGAGGCAGCAGUGGGGAAUAUUGCACAAUGGGCGGAAGCCUGAUGCAGCAACGCCGCGUGCGGGAUGACGGCCUUCGGGUUGUAAACCGCUUUCGCCUGUGACGAAGCGUGAGUGACGGUAAUGGGUAAAGAAGCACCGGCUAACUACGUGCCAGCAGCCGCGGUGAUACGUAGGGUGCGAGCGUUGUCCGGAUUUAUUGGGCGUAAAGGGCUCGUAGGUGGUUGAUCGCGUCGGAAGUGUAAUCUUGGGGCUUAACCCUGAGCGUGCUUUCGAUACGGGUUGACUUGAGGAAGGUAGGGGAGAAUGGGAUUCCUGGUGGAGCGGUGGAAUGCGCAGAUAUCAGGAGGAACACCAGUGGCGAAGGCGGUUCUCUGGGCCUUUCCUGACGCUGAGGAGCGAAAGCGUGGGGAGCGAACAGGCUUAGAUACCCUGGUAGUCCACGCUGUAAACGGUGGGUACUAGGUGUGGGGUCCAUUCCACGGGUUCCGUGCCGUAGCUAACGCUUUAAGUACCCCGCCUGGGGAGUACGGCCGCAAGGCUAAAACUCAAAGGAAUUGACGGGGCCCCGCACAAGCGGCGGAGCAUGCGGAUUAAUUCGAUGCAACGCGUAGAACCUUACCUGGGUUUGACAUGGAUCGGGAGUGCUCAGAGAUGGGUGUGCCUCUUUCGGGGUCGGUUCACAGGUGGUGCAUGGCUGUCGUCAGCUCGUGUCGUGAGAUGUUGGGUUAAGUCCCGCAACGAGCGCAACCCUUGUUCACUGUUGCCAGCACGUUAUGGUGGGGACUCAGUGGAGACCGCCGGGGUCAACUCGGAGGAAGGUGGGGAUGGCGUCAAGUCAUCAUGCCCCUUAUGUCCAGGGCUUCACGCAUGCUACAAUGGCUGGUACAGAGAGUGGCGAGCCUGUGAGGGUGAGCGAAUCUCGGAAAGCCGGUCUCAGUUCGGAUUGGGGUCUGCAACUCGACCUCAUGAAGUCGGAGUCGCUAGUAAUCGCAGAUCAGCAACGCUGCGGUGAAAACGUUCCCGGGGCU